rnacentral:lncRNA from 1 species
CUGGGGGAGUUCACAUCUGGGUGCACUAGGACACUGACCUGACUGGCUUUACUGAGUCAUAAACUACUCAGCGUGAUUGGAGACCCCUUCUCCUGACAUGGAGCUGUGUGUUGUCAGCGAGGAUCAAAGAAGAGAAACAUCUGUCUGGAAUUUGUAAAUUAUCCAUUUGCCCUGUAUAUUCCGAACCUUCCUUCUCACUUUCUCCCCGUCCUGAGAGACUGCUGCAAGAUCAUCUUUGCUUUCUAAUUUCCUCCUAAAGUUCUUUUCUUCCUUUCCUCGUGUAAAGACACAUUUAGCAACUGAGUUCUGAAUCUUAUCUUUUUUAGACGUCAUUAAUUUGGUGUCUUCCUCUUUUAUCUUUAUUUCUCUGUUUUCACAGAGUAUUUUUUCCCAAGGGGUAAGCGUCUUAUCAGGCUAUACUAAACUCAGUCUUUUUUGUUGUUUCUUUCUUCUAAUAAGGUAACUGUUCUCCUAUUUUUCUUUUGACCCGAACUUCUCUUCUUCUUGAAGACCUGUGAACUUCUGAGGGAAAACAUUUUAAUCUUUUGCUUCUCAUUUUUUUAAGGAUAUUUUAACCUCAUGGU